GAAAAUCAUAGUACAUAAUUGAAUUUACCGUAAAGAAAUACCCAUUGAAUUACCAAAAUACCCAUGGAGUGUGAAAAGAAGUGGCUUAUAUAAGCUAUUUUGUCCACAAGACAAAAGGCAUUUUCUGAUUACAUUUACACCAAAACGCAAAAUGCCAAAAUCAACUGCUAUUAUUCUGUUUGGUUUAGAGAAGUCAGCACCAGAGGAUUUG
rnacentral:lncRNA from 1 species